ensembl:snRNA U2 U2 spliceosomal RNA
AUCGCCUCUUGGCCUUUUGGCUAAGAUCAAGUGUGUUAUCUGUUCUUAUCAGAAAGUAGAUUAGUAAUUGCUUAUUGGUAGAGAGGAAGAUAAU